rnacentral:lncRNA from 1 species
GCCGAGCGCUAUAUAUAAGUUGCAAGGACCGAAAGUACUCACCGCGUGUACGCGUGCGUUGAACUCGAGGGCGGAAACAUAUACGCUGCACCUCCCGCUCAUCGGGUAUAGGUAAUACAGUUUUGCGCUCGGGGUUUCGUCUAUAGAGUAUACCGCGCAGCUGACAAGAUGAGGACGGGGCGAAUCGCGGCGCACAAGAGGAGAGUCGAGGUCGGCUCGUCCUCGACGCCGGAGAGUCUUUUCUUUUUCUCGCCGCGCAAUCUAUUCACUUGCCCUUUCUUCCUCUCUCUCUCUCUCUCGUCACUUGCGACUAUGUAUGAGUAUUUACCGAUUCCGCCAAACAGUUAGCGCACACGCGAUGCAUACGCGCGCCGAGAGGCAAGAUUUCGCGCGCGCGGGGAGAACGGACUCGGAUAUAUAUAUAUAUGUAUAUAUAAGAGUCGCGCCUUUGCGCAGCGCCGGCACUAAGUUGUGAAACGCGCGUAUAUAGUAUGCGCCACUUUCACUAUCGCAGCCAAGUUUCAUAACUGUUAUUAUCGAGGACAUACGUAGGCCGUGUGCUGCAGCAGCAGUUCUCUCUCUCUCUCUCUCUCUCUCUCUCUCUCUCUCUCUCGAGAAAGGAGAAAGAGCCGAUCUCCAGUUUAGAAAGAUAGCCGAGCACACGAAUUGAAAAUUAGCUGCAACGCGCGGAGAGUAGCCGCAGCGACGCGUUAUUCGAGUAUACUGCAGGAGCGCGUCCUCGUCGGUUCCAUUGUUUAGCCAUGUCUAAUUGAUCCGUCCUCCGGCGCUAUACACGCCGCCGCAGACUCUGACGUCGUACACCUAUAUAGCGCGUGUACAGCGGCAGCAGCAGCACAAGUCAAGCAGAUCGCGAGCGCAGAUGAGAGGCGGAAAAAAGCAGAACGGAGCAGUGGGUGCAUAACGGCGCCCCGACCUCCAUUUCGGCAAAAGCGGAAAUCACUCGCUCCGCCUGUCUCUCUCUCUCUCUCUCUCUCUCUCUCUCUGUAUAUGUAAAUCUCUCCGCGGAGCCUCACACAAUACAUCUACACACGCAUACGCGCAAGGGUUAACAGACCAAUACAUCUCCGCGCGCUGCGAUGCUCUAUUCAGCGGCUUUUCCGACCCUGACUCCUCGCCUGCGCACGCGCGCGCGCGCGCACACGGUAAUGACCCGAAUCGAGAGAGCUCUAUGUUGAUUGUUGUAGUGUAGUGUAACGCCGGCGACGAAUUACUUUUCAGUGUGUAUAGUUACACUUCAAAACGCGAGUGAGAGAGAAAAAAUCGUGGCAGACAUUACACGCUGGACUGACACUGCGCUGUCAAGGACAAUGCUAACACGCAGACAACGAGUCGGUCCGUGUGUACGUACACGGCGGCUCUAUACUCUCAUGGUCUGUCCCUUGACUUGACUCAGUUUGUAACACGGUCACAGUUAAUAUGAUAUUGUUCUAUACGCGAUGCCGGACGCCGCCGUCGCGACACGAAAAAAAGGAGACCAUUUUUUUUCAUUUGGCCGCAUGGAAAUGACCCCGAUUGUUCCGCUUUACAUUUUCCGAUUACGCCUGCGUUUGCGCCAAGCUCUCGAGGCCUUUUGUUUAGCUCGGAGUGUUCGGUCCGUUUUGUGAUCGAUUGAAUUUUCGCCAAAGCGCCUCGAGAGGCGAAAAAAAUUGAACACGACGACGAUUUCCAACGGAACUCAUAGCCGAGCGCACGAGCGCGCGCGCACAACGAUCGAUUUGAUGCUUUAGGGUCACGUGGUUAGGGCUACAACGUGCCAACGUGUUGCCGGCGGCUCUCUCUCCGUCUAUCUCGCGUAUAUACUCAUAUAUACCUACAUACUCGGCUGGCUCCGGGAAUCACCUUGCACUCGAGCCUCGGUUCGUUCGAUUUUUUUCUCGAAUAUACACCGAGCACGUUUAUACAGCGGCGAUGUUUGCGUCUUCUACACAGGAACGAGGAGUCGACGCGUUCGAUUUCCUGCGAAAUUAUGCGCGCAUCUUUUUGCUGAACCGACACGCAUAACGUAUCUCCUGCGACUAGAGUGGAACACGCGCGAGGGACCGAGUGCAGAUAGCCACGAAGCAUUAGAAUGAAUCCAAUAUAUAGAAUGUCUCAAAACGGAUUUCCCUUCGGCAAGUUAUGCACCAUUUCACAAGAAUGAGAGAAUCCAAGAGAGAGAGAGAGAGAGAAAGAGAGAGAAGCAUGCAGUUGAAUUUAAAAAGUCGCCUAAAUUAAUAAGAGCGAGGAGUAGCGACAUCCGACGGACUAUUUCGCAAACACUGCGCAGCUUGAAAAUCGUUUAUUCUCUCUUUUUCAGAUUCGUCUUAUAUUAUCGUCUUGUUAUUUACGUAAUAACUUUUUACUGCAAGCAAAAUUGACCGUUAAAAUAAGUAUACUCGGUACGCAGAGCGUGAAUUUUUGCACUAGAAAAAUUCGAAUGUACAUGUAUGGCAAACCAUUGUGAAACAUCGUACUAUGCGAACAUUUUUACGCACUCGCAAUUUUUUCGUUUGCAUGCGCACAAUCGCAAGCCAUAAUUGUGAGGUUACAUCGAGAACGUUAGUACAGAAAUUUCCGUAAAAGAGGAUUAACUAUUUCUGCGUCACGCUACGCAACACACGCCAGUUAUACGUAUGCACGAGCCGCACGUUCCGCUCGAAUGCUCGGACAUUAUUUGUUAAAUGAUUUUUUUGCAUCUUAAUUACCGUGUCUAAUGCGGUUAUUGAAUACUGUCGCAGUAGACGACGUAUAUGUAUAAGUAGGCGCUUGUAAAGUAGAAGAAAACGAGACUCACCAAUGGGGGUUUAAUUCCACAUCCACGCAGUCACACUGCUGGAUAUGGGAAUGGGGUCUUCCGGAUGGUGCUGAAACACAACAAAUUUCAUUGAUGCUUACAAAACUGACCGAUCACAACGCUGAAAGUGUAUCGGGGGAAUUUAUAACCAAACAUUUACGUUAAAUUUUGAUGACGACGCGGCUUUUCGAUUGACAACUGCUGGCAACACUUUUAAUUUCAUUUCAAAAUACAGUUACAAUGACCCACUCCUUUGAUUUUUCGUUCAUUAGUGUAAUUACAAUAACACUGGCAUUUUCAAACCUUGUUCAAAUUGCGUACGCGCAUCUUUGAAUUAAAAAAAAAAACAAAAAUAAGUAUAUUUACGAUAGAUGGCACGCCGCGAUACCCAACUGAAUUUGUUUAUUUAUAUAACUCCAACAUGCGAGCUCGAUUUGCAAAUCAAUCAGCCAAAACGACGCAGAAAAAAUCAACCAAGAAAAUUAUUUUCGUGUCGAGGGAUCUGCACGGUACACGGUAUUGAAUAAAUGUGCAUAGAGCAUGACAAGAAAGCUAAACUUAGCCCGAGUAGACAUUCUGCGAAAAUUUAUAGAAAGGAAAGAAGAUGCAGUGCAAAAAAGCUAGGUUAGCUUUUCAUCGAAGAGUUCGCAAACGCGUAUCGACGCCCCGUAACAUGGAAUCCGGCCGAGGCUCCGCAGCCGAAACAACUCUGGCACGAGAGGCCUUAUCGGAACGAAGCGGCGAAAAGAAUGAAAAACCUCUCGUUAUCCGGCCGACAAUGAUAAAAUAAAACAUAUGAAACUUACCAACAACCUUGGUGAAGGUGCCGACCAUUAGCCGGCCGCCUGCUUGUUACACGCACUGAGACGCGCUUUGAGCUAACGCGUCCAAGUCGAGAGAUUAUGCCGACUAAAUCGAGUCAAGUCCUUGAUCUCUGGCACGCAGUUAGACUUAGGGUAAACUCGUACUCUGCGGCAUCUUACACGAUUUUUUUCCGAUAUAUAGAGAACCGAGAGAACGAUCAGCAGCAGCCCGACGACGGGACGUCGCGACGCGCACACUGAUGCGCUAUGCGUUGCUUGUACAACUAGGUAUACUCUAUAGCUCGAUCAGCCGAUCACUAAUUCGCGCAUCUUACUUUUGCUUUAUGAAUUUAUUUAAAGAGCUAGGAACAAAAAAUAUUGCAGCUAAUGCCGACGUCAGCGUCGUAAAGAAUACUUGAAAUAGGACUGAAGCGAUAUUAAGCGUAUUCAUAAGUAUAUGCCAGUAUUUUGAAAUUAAAAAAUGCUUUAUUUUGAACAAAACGCGCUCUUUUACUUUUUAUCCUUACAAAAAUAGACAUGUGUGUAUGUAUGUACAUUUCUAGGCAGAUCUUUUUUUUCAAAUUAUUAAUACAACAUUGAUUCUAUUUAUAAAGAACAGAGAGUAGUGCAGUAGGGUUUACACACAUUAGAUCAAGACUUAGUUCAAACAAUCUGAUUCACGACGUCAGGCGCUGCGUAAAUUGUCUAGUAUAAAUAGAUAAUACUGAGAUUCUUUUGUUAAAUUCAUAAAGUAUGUACAAUCAUUAUAAUGCUUGAUCUUGUUGUUCAAGGAACUGUUUCAGCAGUGCAUUGUCUAAUGGAAUCACAAGGUACUCAACUCCAUCAGAAUUUCUUUUAUUUUUGACAAGCUUAUGAUCGACGAAUUCAGUUAGUUGAGAUCUUAAUGCUUGAUCUGAGGAUACAAGAAAACCCUCUCUAGAAGCUCUGUAUAAAUCUUUAAAUGCCAUUCCUAAAAAAAUAUUUUUUAUUUAAUACAAGCUUUAUACUGCUUUCUAAAAUACAAUCAUGCAUGAAAAAUACGAACCAGCAUAAUCUUUGCCACUGUUUGUCAAUUGAUAUUUAACAAGUAAGAUGUAUAUGUCUUUGGCAUUUUUAGUUAAAGACGCAAAUACGUUUUGUAAUGAUAGUAAGGCCAAUGUUCCACUUUUUUGGACAAGCAAUGAACUUUCGUAAGAAGUUUCAGCUUCAUAUGGCAUAAAGGUAGUAGCAUUGAUCCAAUAAAAAUUAUACCUUGUCCUUUUCACGUUAUCCCAAACUGUAAUAGUAGCGAUGGUUACUCAAAUAUAUCUAUGAAAGAAAAUUCACUAAAAUUAAAUAUUGUCUUACUUAGUGGGGCAUUGAUGUGAUCUACUGAAGCUAAUACAUGAAUAUUUGAUAUGUUUGCUAAACGAGAUAACAUGUCUUGCACUUUGUUAGAGCGUAACAUUCCACCAUCAAUAUUGUGAAUUAAUAAAUAUAUGGCAUCUUUUGGAUGAGUU